GCCUCGGUGGUGUAGUGGUAACUCACGUCCCCGGUAUAGAAGAAACGCGGGUUCGACUCCCGGCUGAGGUC